rnacentral:tRNA from 1 species
GGGAGCGCCCGGCGCGGAUGCUGCCGGUGCCGGUGCUGCCGGCGCCGGUGCUGCCGGUGCUGCCGGUACCGCCGCAGGUUCCAGCCCCUUCGCUCCGCC